rnacentral:lncRNA from 1 species
UAGUAAUAUCUAUAGCAUACAGAGAUGGAGAGGCAAAGAAGCAAGCAGGUUUGUUUGUUGAUGUGGGUUUUGGUUGCUGCCUUUUUCUCCCACAAUAGGGUCAUUGCAGUGACCUCCACUGGCCUUGGUGAGCAGAAAAACUACUAUCCAGCUCCUGACCCUCAUGCUGGAACUCCCCCUUCAGGUUUCACUCUCUUUGAGAAACUAUAUUCAGCUGUUGGUUCAUACCAGUUGUCUGAUGUUUUCCUUUUCUUGUUGCAAUGACAUGCAUGCUGACUCUAUUUGGUCUAAGUGCAGGUUCACAUGGCACACCACCAUCUUCAGGAGGUGGAUCACCUCCCUCUCAUGGAACCCCGUCACAUGGAGGUGGUUACCACCCUUCACCAACACCAUCAACGCCUUCGGGUGGAAAUUGUGGAACUCCCCCACAUGACCCUUCAACUCCAUCAACACCAUCACACACUCCUUCUCAUGGUACUCCACCAUCAUCUGGAGGUGGUAGUCCCCCAUCGUAUGGAGGAGGCAGUCCCCCAUCGUAUGGAGGAGGCAGUCCCCCAUCAUACGGAGGUGGCAGUCCCCCAUCAUAUGGAGGUGGCAGUCCACCAACUACUCCCAUUGAUCCAGGAACUCCAAGCAUUCCCUCACCUCCAUUCUUUCCUGCUCCAACUCCACCAAUUGGUGGUACAUGCGAGUAAGUCAUUGUAACUUCUAAAUAGUUCUUUUGUCAUCAAGUUAAGAUACUAACAACUCAUAUUUGUUACUUUCAGUUUCUGGAGGAGUCACCCCACACUGAUAUGGGGUCUGCUUGGUUGGUGGGGCACUGUAGGCAACGCAUUUGGCGUGACCAACGCUCCUGGACUUGGAACAAGCAUGAGCUUGCCCCAAGCACUUUCAAACACACGUACUGAUGGACUUGGGGCGCUUUACCGGGAAGGAACAGCCUCAUUUCUCAACUCCAUGGUGAAUAAUAGGUUCCCAUUCUCGACUAAGCAAGUCAGGGAGACUUUUGUUGCAGCACUUGGUUCAAACAGCGCUGCAGCAGCUCAGGCUCGUCUCUUCAAGCUUGCCAAUGAAGGCCACCUCAAGCCAAGGACCUAAGCAAACACCUUUUGGUUUGUCAGUUUCUUGAAGCAUUUUAUCCACUAGUGUGUGCUACUUAGAUUUUAUGUUCCUAAUAUUCGACAUCUAUAAUGCUACAGCUUUCAUUUGGAUAGAUACUGUGUCUAGAACUGAAUGUUAAGUUUAUGUUUUCUUAUUUUAAAUAAAAUUUAAGAUAUUUGUUUAAAUUUCCUCCAACCACAUACUCUACACUGACAGAAACUGCAUCAAUAGUUGGUCACUAGCUAGGCCACUGGUGAAUGAAACCAUAAUUUCAAGCUAUCUCAGACAAUCAAAAUAAAACAUGCAUCUAGCGUUUCUAGAUAGACGUCCUAAACCAAGCAAAUUACAUGGUUAAUGAUUCGUGCUGAUGCAUCCAUGUUUAUGGAGCAUGCGUGCAUGGCGAAUUCAACAAAGGGAGCGUGGUAAGAAUAAAUGGGAAGUGAAUGCACAUUAAUGACCCAAAUACAGAGCAGUGGAACUUGCAGAUAGCCCAGUGUAUUUCAUUUAUUAUAUAGUACAGCUGUAGGAAUUCCAUGAACCAUAUUUAAGAGAGAACUGAACAGCAGAAACUAGAAUAUUAUAAGAACAAUUAAUGAGUUACUUUCACAACUAAAGUAGUAUUAAGGUCAUCAACAUAAAGAAAGACAUAAAUCUUCUUUUUGACAAAAAGUUCUAAUGCCAAUCCUGGUUCGCUACCAAUUCAUUGAAACAACGUCACAGUUAUGGGAUUCUGUCUCAAAUGAAGGUAAAAGUUAGGAUGGUCAACAGGAAAACAACUCUGAAAGGAAACCCAAAGGAAAACAUACCUUUUGCUUGUUAUAAUGACCAGUAAGAAAUCGUUUACACAAUUGAUAAACAAGGAAAGUGAACAAUUAUUUGGGAGGCAACUUAAGCACCAGCUGAUCAAGAGAAAUUACUGCUCCUUAGUAUUCUCGACUUUCUUUCCUACGGGUUGCAAUCAUGAUUGUAUGGAAGAAGUGAAAAUUGUUUUCAUAGAUUCCCAUCCAGUGUCUGAAUACCUCGUAGUACUUGCAUUCAUGUUAUCAUUGUAGCAUUCAGCCAAAAAUUUCCUACUCAUCCAUUCAAGGAAUGCAUGUAACUGCAGCCAUUUUCUAGAAUUGCACUUAACUUUUGGUGGUAGUGAAAUUAGAUUGCAGAACCCUGCGAGGCAUAUCUGAUUCACCACUAUAGAGAGAAUAAUUUUGUGCCCAUAGAUGAUUUUUCAGGACAUCUCAGAUGCCAACGUAAAUAUUUCGGUUUACCCUAGUCUUCCAGAAAAUGGAAGAAGGGUAAAACAGAAAAAAGCUUAGUAGUUGCAUAUGCUAACAGCAAAUCAACAGUAACAAACAAGCUAGUUAAUGAUGAUACAAACAAUUUCCAAAAGAUGUAGCUCGAAAUCUUUUAUCAUUUACUUCUUGUCCUACCUUAAGGAAACAUUAUUUUAAAUAUUUCAACAAGUUAAUAAACAUAUAUGGCUACCAGCCUACCACAUGAUCAUGACAGACGCGGCAGCUCCAUAAAAGCUUCACCAAGGAAGCCAGAUACAUAAUAAAAAACAAAAGAUAUUUAAUAAGAUGUAAUAGGUGGAAGAUACAGCUACAAUAUAAAGACCAUGUGAAACUAAAUACUUGAUAGGUGUAAGAUAACAGCCAUUGAUGCUCCCCUCUAUGUGUAGCUCAACAUGAACUUACAGUGAACAACCUCACUGAGGAUCGUCAGUUUCACAUGGUUUAGGCAGGAAGAACUUAACAAACACUUGGGCUCUAUAUCAUGUUAAGAAUACAACCUAAAACCAUAUAUAACACGCCUUGACAAUUUUCAUGUGUAAAUUUAUCCAUACAUUGGUAAGAGAAUUUCAAUUAGAACAUAUCUAUGUUCUUUUGAACAUUUUCAAAAAUUUAUUUACAUAUUUACAAAUAGAUCAAGGGUUACCAGUUUGCAAGACAAUAGAAGAGUUAAAAUCAAUGCAAAAAAUAAAGGCAUACCAACCCAUAUUCGGUUAAAUAGAACGUGGGUAUGAUCUCUGCAAGGCAAGAAAAAUUACCCUAAAAGGCCAAGUCAAAAUGGCAUUUUAGUAACUUGAAACUAUGUUGUUUCGACUCUAUUUUUUUUCCUGAAGUACUCAUGUCUGGUAACCAUAUCAAAUGUAUAUCCGGAAAAGGGUAUAGGGAUAUGGUCCUCUAAGAACUCUGAAAAUACAUGGAAAUCUUGGAAAAGUUUGAAUAAACACGUGUCCGACAAGUCUUAGUAACAUAGACUUGAAAACAUUUACAUUAAGAAAAAAGAAAAUGCUUGCUGAAAGUUUAUUGAUGCACAAGCAGAAUUAGCACAUGAGCUUAUGUAAUUUUAUUUUAAUUUUCAAAGUAUGAUGAGGUGAGAUGGUGCAUUAAUCAGGUUGGGUAUCUCAUGUAAAUUGAAGAGCACCACGAACAUCGAGCAUGGAGUUGCUGAUACUUCCUUCAAGAUCUACUUAACUCUUUGACCCUUUAAACCUCUUUAGAUGGUUUUUUGAUGCAGACACCAGACUGGACUGAGCUGUAAAUAUAAAAUGCUUGAAUAAAUGAAGGCAGCAACCAAAAUUCACUAUGACUCCCAGAGCAACAUAAUUCCAGUGACCUAAUUCUAGGUGCAUUUUUAAUGCCAAAAAACUCUAGAAGUCUAAAGGAAGAAACAGAACGGAGAGAUCGUGGAAAGGGAUGUCAGAUGGUAGUCCAAAACAUAAGUUCAAACUUAAAACCCUGCCAGGUUAAAGUGGAAGCCAUUGUCUCACUUAACAUCUAUUAACAACUCAAUAUGGAAAUUAGUAUCAAGACCAAGGUAGCAGACAAUUUAUACAUACUCAAAGGGUCCAAUAUAAUUUUAUAAGCUUUCAAGGUACACAGACAACAAAUAUAACUACCUGCAUCAAGCUGGCACAAAAAUUCACGUAUUAAAUCUCUCUGUCCUAUCUUAAAAGGCAAAAUAGAAAAGGAAAUGAUUCUUAUUGUAUCUUUUCUCACCAGAUUCAUGUAGCGACUGCAAUGGUUGCAUCAAACUGUAAUGAAAUUUCCAAGAAAUUAGAACAAACAAAUGCCGUUUGCUGAGUGAGUAGUAAGUUGCUUUAGUUGCUUUCUUAAACAAAACAGAACUUCAUAGGAUAUUUAUUAUCAAAACAAAAAGGAAGGUUUUAUAUAUAUAAAAUUAAACCAUCACUGGCAUUGACUUGAUAAUUUAUAGAUCAGAGUUGCACUUUCAUCCUGAUAAAAAAUAUCCAAUGAGCAAAGACAUCUCAAUCUUCUCCAAUAACACAAGCUUCAGAAUGUAAGUUUGGGACAUAUGCAGUCUGCAAACACACUUUUUCAUGCUCUACAAAUUUUAGGUAGAGAUGAAGUGUAGCACAAUAAAGUAUUUAUAUGCAGAAUGUUGAAAUUCUCUUGGAACUCAAGCAGCAUGGACAAAGAGUAAAAAAUUGACAGUGAAUAGCAAAUCAUUUCUCAUAUUUAGAGUAAUAAGACCUUGCACUCAAGUAAGAUUCAAUUCUAUCCAUUUUCAGAGAUCAACCAUCCCCAUAUUAAGUAUUAAUUGAUAAAAUCAAUUGACAGUUGAAUGCAUAGCAGUUUUAGUAUGUUUUUUUCCUGAAAGAAGUUUUAGUAUCUUCAAGCAGACUAAAAAGAUCAUUACCAUUUGAUCAGUGUGUCUUGCAUUGUACUUUGGUGAUUAGAAACGUCCGGAAUGUGUAAUAGAAAAAACCUUGAAAAGAAAAAGUACCUAAUAAUAUUGAGUUAUUAAACACAACACCAAUAAGCAAGCUCAAUCGCAUACUUAUGCAACGACUAUAGCAUAUAUAUAUAAUCCCAUAUGUUACUCAUAAAACAUGAACUUUCCACUCUCCAUGGAAGUUUUGCACUUUUGUUCAGAAAUACAUAUCUAAAGACUCUAGGUUCCCUUUUCACUUCCAACACAAAGUUAAUGCUUGCUUGGGUGCUUGAAGUGUUAGCUACUGCAUUUUCAUUUUCUAAUCGUUAGCAUGGAUUAAGUUCUAACCCAAAGUCCAACAAUCCGGACUACAUUCAUCUAUGAUUUGUAACAUGGUAAGUUGAUUCUUGCAACUUGGGAAAGGAUAAGUUAGUAGCUGUUUUCCCCUUUCAUGUCUGGGUUUCUUGUCUUUAUUUUUUUUCAAAACUCCAGAUUAGAUAAUCUACAGAUGCCCUAGUAAGGAGAAAAUGGCAAAUCAAAAAGUAAAUAGAUAACAAAAAGAUAAUUCAUUCAAAGCAAGCACAAACAGACCCCUUAAAGGAAACAAGGGAUACUUUGCAAUUGGAGAUUUAUAUAAUUAUAUGUAAUAUAAUAGUAUAGUGAUCAAAUUUGAAUGUUUUCUUUCCAACACACAGCUAAAUUUACCUAGUACAUAGUGGAUGUUGCAGUUUGGUUCAAGGUAGUAACUUUACAUCCUAGUCUUCAGUUGUUUGAAGACAAGCUUCAAGCAAUAAACAAUUCAGUCCAGCUCAAAUUCAGGGAUUGUUACGAUGAGUUGUAUGUACGAUCACUUUUGACAGUCAGUACUUUGGUCAAACAGAAAGAAAGGAGAAUGUCGCACAAUUGAGUACUGUUCAGGCCAUAUGAGACUCAAACCAUUUAAAAAUCUCUUCAGAUUGCAAACUAGUCAUUUCAUGAUAGGCAAAUGCAAGAUUUAGCUCCUCCUCAACGGGAUGCACCAAAUCCUUUUCUAGCAAAUUAGGCUUACUAUCCUGGAGAGCAUCUUUCCAACGUGUCGCACGCCCAUCCCAUUUCAUAUACCCAUUCUCGUCGACAAAGCCUUUCUCCCUGAAUAAGUUGAACAACGUAGCAGAAAUAGUCUGAUCAAGACCUGGGAUUCUAUCAAACAAAAAAGUUGGUGACAGAGGCAACUCCAUGCAUUCAAUCUCUGCAACAUCAACCCCUUUAUUUCUCAAAACUUCAAUGAAUUCAGUUAUUUUUUGUUGCCUGCGUAAAUCUUUAGGCAUGUGCACAAAAAGGGUCGGUGGAUAGUCCUCUCUAAUGUCCAUGUGAUCAAAUAAUCCUUCAGCAAUCACAAGUGUAAUACUACUAAACUUCAAAUCAUUAGCAAUUGCAGAUACAAAAUACCCACCAGAAGAGGCCCCCAAAGCCACAAGAGGAAGCUUUCCAAGGUUCUGUCUCUUAACCCACCAUGUUAUAAUAUCUUCAACAAUCAACCUUUCUUCCCCAAAUGCCCAGCACCUCCCUGCACUUGAUAUAGUCAAGACAGCAAAUUUACGAGCAAGAGCAUGAAGCACAAGCAGCCUUUCCUCAGGCAAACCAACACAUUCAGGACAUUUAGGAGACUUAUCCCAAAAAUUAGCAGCUCUGCCACUACAUCCAUGAGCUAGAAAAAGAACAGCCUUAGGUGAAUCGGGUAUUUGCCAUAUCAAAUCCGUCCCAUUCCGGAAUUCUCUUUUUGGAUUAAACUGCACCAAAGACUCAAACCUAUUCCAUUUUCUCUCCGGUGGCAGUCCGUAUGCCUGAAUCCGUUUUUCAUCAUUUCUGUGGAAAAGGAACACUAAUGCUACUGAGACUGAUACCACAAACAUAACUGGGACCACAACCGGGUAUUUUUUUUGUCCAUGCCAUGCCUUUAACUUUGUUCCACGAUUCAGCAUUGCUGACAACAGAUUAACAAUAACAGGCUUGAACACUUGUAAGCCUAAAGUCUAAUUGAAACAAUUCACUAAUAAAUUGAAUCUAAGAUUAGUCUAAAGUCUCAAAAAGGGUGGGUGUAAUAUAGAUAUUAAAGGUUGGACAUUCCAAGAUGUUAUUUGUAGAUCGCAAAAGAUAGAAUGAUAGUUGAAGAAGUGAAGAAGUCAAGACCUGGAAAAUAUUUGGGAGGGUAGUUGGAGAUCUAAUCUUCUGCUUUCCGAAUUUCCAGAGAGCUUAGCUUCCGUUUCCAGUUCUUGCAGCUUUUGAACGGGUUAACCUGUUAUCAAAAGGUUUAGGGUAAAGUACAAAAAUGUCAAUAAACUAUUGAUUUUGUUCUAUUUUAGUCACUUAACUAUUAAUUAUUUCAAUUUAAUCACUAAACUUUUUGAAAUAAAAUAUUUUAGUCCCUUGUAGUUAUGAGCGACAGGAAGUUGACUUGGGCUUUUUUUUUUGUCUAAUAACAAAUUUACCCCUCAAUGUUUACAAAUUUUGUCAUUUUAAUUCAUUUAAAUUCUAAAAUUUCAAUAAAUUUAACCCUCAACAUUUACAGCAUGGCAAAUUUGAGUCCAAAGUAUCAAUUAAUUAAUCAUCAUAGUUGUAUUGAACGAGGCAAUUAAAUCUAUUUCCUCAGAUUCUAAUACGAUAUUUUAACAAAAUUAGAAUUAGGUUGAGAAAAUAAUUUAAUGGAGUUAAUUAAUUAAUUAAUAUUUUAAUAAUAGAAAAUUAGCUAUUAGGUUGGUUAAAUGAUAUAUGUUGGUUAGAAGUCCAAAUAAUACAUAUAAUUAUACCAGUACAUGAGACGAGCCCAAUAUAUCCAUCUCAAAUGAAAGGGGCAGCAAACCCUAGUAUCCAUUAGGGUAUGCCAUCGCCCCUUAAUAUUCCAUAUAAAGGAAUAUUGUAUUUUUCUAUUAAAAUAUCAUUAUUUAAUAACAUAUUGUUCAAGUAAAACUUUUGUAGAUUUUUUCUUAUAAAUAGGAACUAUGAAAUAACUUAAUUAACACACCAUUUAGGGGUUAUUACUCCGUCAGAAAAUAAUGACAAUUUAUUCACAAAAUAAAUUCUAUUUUCUACUAAGGUCAAAAGGUUUUCUAAUUUCUCAUAGAGAAGUUAACUUUCCCACUUAAUUAAAGUUUUUAUCAUGUGUAUUCAAUUGGUGCUGUGUGAACCCACACUUAAAGUAAUCCAAAGUUCAAGAAAAGCAAAGAAUUGGAAUGUUUUUGUCCAAAUAGGCAAUUAUACAGUACCUUGCCAAAUUCGAGAUUGUCAUCACUAAACAACCUCUACUUCAUCAUGAGUACUGCAACAUGGUAUCAAAGCUGAGUAAUGAUUUACCUAGAAGCUUGGUCAGCUGGUUUUAUGACUCAAACACAGGCAGAAAUUAGUAGUGUGCGUCUAACGUUUAUGCCUCAAGACCAGGCUAAAAAGGAUGACCAAAACCCUAUUGUUAUUGAUGAACAUGGUAAGUACUCAAACCAUAAACAAAUUGGUAUAAUGAUAUUUCCUUGAAAGGCUCACUAAAUUGCCUGAUGGUAUUUUACAGCAAAGUUGGCAUGAUCAAUUUUGCCUAGAAAUUGUUCGACAAAAUGCUAGAACUAAAAUGUCGUCCUACUAUAUUAAAUUGUAGAACUAAAAUGCUAGAACUAAAAUGCCAAAAAUUGUUCGGCAUUUACCCCUUCUUUACUAGUCACAUUACAGAAAACAAAAGCAUAAAAAAUCAGCAUUGUAACAACAAAUGAGAGGUGAAUUCAUUCUAAAAGUCGAAAUGUAAAGAGAUUUUGAAUGGGAGAAGAAAUAAAAAUGUGGGUUUUGAAUAGGAGAAAAAAAUCUUCCAAAGAGAAGCACCGGUGGUGGAGAAGAGGAGAAAAUAUACCGAAGAAAUAAUGAUAAAAAUUAAUCCCAUAAUAAAAACAAACAAAAAUAUACAGAAGAAGAGAAGAAAAAGAUAAACUCACCGGUGGCGGAGAAGAGGAACAAAGAACCAGCGACUUCUUCAGUGGAGAAGAGGAACAAAGAACCAGCAAUGAAGAGAUGAAAGCAAAGUGCUUUCUGGAUGAAAACAAAGAACCAGCGUUGUGUUUGGCUAAAAAAGUAAAAUACCAGCCCAAAAGCACUUUUUGGCUGAAAAAGCUGAAAAAUUCUGCUUUUUCAUCUGCCCAAAAGCAAUUCAAAUAAGUUGAAAAUUUACUAUUACUGAAGCCUGUUCUUUAUUGCUUUUAAGUGAAAUGCACUUUUACAUGUAAAAAUUCAUCUGGAAAGCAAUAAAGAACACAACCUAAGUCAUGAAUCAUAUGGAUAUGGUUAAGUGUUUCCUUUUUUAUGCUUGAGCAUGAAAUAACUUAGUAUUAGCGUCCCCAUGUCAGAGCCAAAUAAUUUUUGACCAUUGUCUCCAAUAAAUAGCUUCCUGUGCUAAAAAUUAUUAAGGGCUUAUUUGUUUACAUGUUAAAAAUUGUACGAAAAAUAUUUUUGGUCAACGAAAAAUGACUUAUAGAACAAUAUAAAACAACCUUUUUUUUUCUGUAAAAUAAUUUACGCUUUUGAAAAGCGUAGGUUAUUUUUCCGAAAAGAGUUCCUCUAUAGGUAAUUUUAUUUUUAUAUAAAAAUUAACUUAAAUCAAGCUUAAUAUUAUUAUAUUGAAAAUAGUUUUUAUUUUUAUUUUAAAAAAUAUUUAAAAUAUUAAUAUAAAAUAUUAUAUUUUCAAUAUCAUUAAACAUACAUAAUUAUUUAUUUAUAUUUAGUCAUAUAAUAAAUUAUUAAUAUAAUUAAUAUAUUUAUUAUUUUAAUAAAUUAUUUAAUAUUUUAAUUUUAUUUUAAUAAUAAAUUUUAAAAAUAAUAAUUUUAAAUAAUAUUCUUUUGAAAAUAUUCAAUAUUAAUAUUUUAAUAAAUAUUUAUUACAAUUAUAAAUAUAUUAAUAAUAAAUGUUUUGUAGUAUAAAAGUUCAAAUAUGUGAUAAGUCUAUGUACUCUUCACAAAUUUUUAAUUUAGUUUUUGUACUUUUAUUUUCAAGAAUUUAGUCCCUCUACUUUUUAGAUUUGAAAAUCAAGUCCAAUAGUUGACAUUGUUAAUUUUUUUCAAUUUUGUUGAUGUCAUAUUUUUAAAUAAAAAAAUACUCACUUGGUAGUUGUCGAAACCUUUUUAUUUUUGAAAUCAACUUAACACGAUCCCACCAUGUGUAAUGAUGUUUUUAAUUAAAAUCACUUAAAUAAAUUAAAAUAUGUGUAAAAGGCCUUCUCAUCUCGAGGUAACCCAAACAAAAAGGUUAUGUCCCAUCAGUUGGGACACGGCAUCUCGAAUCCUCAAAAAUAAGCUUGCCCAUUAUUUAAUUACUAUUUAAAUCUCAUGUGUUUUAGUUUUAAAAAGGAUGUUCGAUUAUUUAGAUUCAAAGAGAAGGUAAAACCCCGUAAGUUAGGGCACAACUUCUUGAAUCUCCAAAUACCGAACAUUGCAUUGAUUUUAAAAAUUUCCUUUUUUAUGCAUCGAGUAAAAACAAACGUAACAUUUAAAGCAAUAUGCAUUUAACUUAUUUGGGCAUAAUAUAAAAAUGGAUAAGUAUAUUUAAAUACGGUUCAUGGAGAUUGGCCAAAUGAAGUAAUAUAGUGGCGAGUAAAAAAAAUAAUGAUAUUAACAUGAUAGAUGAAUAAAUAAAUGAACAAAUAAAAUAAAAAAAAGUCAUGCUAAUUAGUAAUGAUAAUAAAAAUAUAAUAGAAGUAAAAACAUCAAUUUAUGGUAAUAACAACGAUAUUGCGUCAUGAUUACUACCAUAACAUUAAUAUAAAUGAUAAAAAAAAUAAUAAUAAUAAUAAAAGGGAUAAAAUAAAAAUGCAUAAUAAAAAUAAAUAAAUAACAAAGAUUUUGAAUGUUAAAAUAAAAGAUAUAGUAAAUAAAUAGGCAACAUUAAAUACAUGAGGGAUUAAAUCAAAAUUUAAACGAAACAUAAAGCAUAAAUUGCGAAAUAAAUAAGAAAAAAGGAAAUAAAAUACUAAAUUAAAAAUAUAAUAAAAUUUAUCGCCUAAAUUACAAAGAAACAAACUAUAAAGGAUUAAAUCAAAAUAAAAUUUAAAUUAUGGGGCAAAAAUUAAAAAAAUAAAAAUAAAUAGGACUAAAUUAAAAAGAUGAAAAAAGUAGGGGGCCAAAUCUGUAAAUAAACCCCCUUUAGAAAACGCACGGAUCCUAAAGGGGUCGGGUCAGGUUGGCGGAUUAUGCUCAAAACGACUCCGUUUUGGAGUUUAUGGAGCCAGGCCAAAACGACACCGUUCCAAUACCCUAUUUAAGUUCAAAUUUUCCCAAAAAAAUCAUUUUUACUUUGUUUAAAAAAAAACCCCUUCCUCCUUUUUUUUCCUCUGAAGUUUUUUCUUAGGCUGGCCAUGGGGACUACCAUUUUCGGUGACGGAAAAAUCACCAAAAAAUCCUCCUUUUAACCCCCUUUUUAUAAGGAACCCCAUUUUGGGGUUAAAAACACUAAAAUCUAGGCAAAAUUGGGUCGAAAGUAAAAAGACUUUUCGGUUUCUUCUUCCAUCCAACAAGGCCCUCAACGGAGCCCUAGAGGGACUCCAAGGCUUCUUGAGCCGGAGACGAUUCUCAUUAACGGUUGAAACAGGUAAAAAACUCUUUUUAUUAAUUUUCUAUUUGUUUCGAAAAAUAAAUAAAAAUAAAUCAAAAGAAUCACCUUUUUUGUAUUCAAUUUUUGUAUUUUUUAUUGCUUGUCUAUAAAAAAUAAAUACAUGGUUGCCAUGGCUUUUAUAGCUGAAUAUGUUACACUUAAACUGUUGUUUUUUACUGUUUUUCUACUGUUCUUUGCGUGUUUGUGUCUCUAUCCUUGUGUUUCCUUUUUGCAGGUGUCCAUGGUCAACGGCGACAAUGGGAGGUGCUCCUUUGCCAUUUUGGUGCAAUGGAAGUAGGGGUGCGUCAGGCCUCGGGCAACGAGCACACCGACGUGACAUGAGGAGCGAUGCCAAAUGAAACUAGGGUUUUAGGUUUUCUAAAAAAAGUUUAGGUUUUGGGCCACUGGGCCUCCAUUUGUAUUUGGGCUUGUAAUAAUUUUUUGGGGCUUUCGAGCAUUGUAAAUGGCUGUUAUUAUUACAUUUUUUUACUGUUGUUUUAUUAUUGGGCCUGGGCAAAAUUGGGCUCUUACAGCUGCCUCUCUUUGCUUAUUGUCGUGUAACGGGAAUGGAGUAAAGACUUUAAGAAGGGCUAAUUUUGUCUGGUCUUGUCGAAUCUCGACUUUUUUGGUGCUUCUCUUUUUCAAAUAGCCUCAUUCUAACCCACUGUAACUUAAGGGGUAUAGGAAUUGUAGUUUCAAUCUACUCCGCUGCAACUUCAGGGAGAUGAGAUUCAUAGCUUCAAUCUGCUCCACUACAACUUCAGUGAGAUAAGAUUUGUAGCUUGUAGCUUUAAUUUGUUCCACUGCAACUUCAGGGAAAUAAGACUCGCUAUGGUAGAUUUAAUCCGACCCACUACAACUUAAGAGGUAUAGGAUUGUCACUUCAAUAUGCUCCACUACAACUUUAGUGAGAUAAGAUUUGUAGCUUUAAUCUACUCCACUGCAACUUCAGGAAGAUAAGAUUUGUAGCUUCAAUCUGCUUCACUGUAACUUCAAAGAGAUAAGAUUUGUAGUUUUAAUCUAUGCUGCAACACUUCAUAGGCCGUUCUCUUAAGUAGAUGUAUAUGAAUGAUAUUUGUAUGAAUGCAAAAUGUCAUUUUCAAGAAUGAUCCCCUUUUUAGUACUUAGGUUGACAUUGUUCGUUGUUCAUCAAGGUUCUAUCACUGACGUGUUACAAUACCUUCUUGUUCAGAUCUGGUAUCUUUGACAAGAAACCCGAAGAAGUGAUCACAAUUUAGACUAUUCGUUCCCAGAUAUUUUCAACCCUUAGAUUUGGUUAGUUCUAACUAGUAGUCCUGUUUCAGAUCCUUGUACUAUUUAGAAACCUUUUAGAGUAAUAUGCAAAAAUCCUUUUACUUGAAUAUUGUUAAUCUAUUAAUCGUUAUUUCAAUGUAAAAAUGCUUGAAAAUGUUGUAACAAUGGACAAGAUUAAAAUCUAUUGGGAGCAAAGCUCGAAAUGAAUAGAUUAAUCAAAAUAGAAAACAUUAUUAAAAUAAAAAAUGAGUAAGAUGAAAAUAGGUGCCCCAAAUAUCGCAGCAUGAGAGAUGAAAAUAGGUGCCCCAAAUAUCGCAACAUGAGCUUCUUUACACAAACUUCUUGAAGACCAGUUUGAGCCUGAUAUGUGUUUAAGAAAUCUAGAGUAUUUUGUUGAUGCCCCAAGAUGUAACGUUUCUCCUUCCAAGAAGAGACAACUACCACAUGCCCAAUCUUCGAUCCAAAUUUGAGUUGCCCUUUCCUGGAUUUUCAACUCAAAACCCCUUUGGUAUCAAGACUCCUUUUGUGAGUUUUCGCAUUGGCCUUUUUUUUAGGUGAAGUCUUUCUUGACUGAAUCUGAAUUCACAGGAUUAGGUAGGUUCUUGCCAUCCAUCUCGGUUAAAAUCAGUGCUCCCCCAAAAAAGGUUUUCUUUACCACAUAAGGUCCUUCCCAAUUUGGCAUUCAUUUACCUCUGAAGUCUUUUUGUAUGGGUAGGAUCUUUUUCAAUACUAGGUCUCCCUCAUGGAAUUCUCUAGGGCGAACCUUUUUUUCAUAAGCUUGUAUCAUUUGUUUUGGUACAUCUGACCAGGAUAGCUUUCAACCUCUUCUCUUCAAUCAAGUUUAACUGAUCAUAUCGAGAUUGGAUCCAUUUUGCUUCAUCUAACUUAAACUCUGAAAAAACUCGGAGAGAAGGAAUCUUGACUUUUAAUAGGCAAAACCACCUCCAUUCCAUAAACCAAUGAGAAAUGUGUUGCCCUGGUGGAGGUUCUAACAGAUGUUCGAUAAGUAUAGAAGGAAAAUGGUAAUUUCUCAUGUCAAUCUAUAUAAGUAUAUGUCAUUUUCCCCACGAUCUUCUUAAUGUUCUUAUUGGCUGCCUCUACAGCACCAUUCAUUUUUGGACGAUAUGGUGAUGAGUUGUGAUGUUUGAUCUUGAAUUGACUACAGACCUCUGCUAUCAUGCUGUUGUUUAAAUUUAAUGUAUUGUCAGAUAUAAUCCUUUUUGACAUCCCAUACCGACAUAUGAUCUCUUUCUUCAAGAAUUUGCUGACUACUAACUUCGUGACAUUGGCAUAAGAAGUGGCUUCUACCCACUUGGUAAAGUAUUGAUAACCACAAAGAUGAAUCGAUGCCUAUUAGAAGCUUUUGGCGAGAUCGGCCCAAUAACAUCCAUGCCCCACAUAGAGAAAAACCAUGGAGAAGUCAUAACAUGAAGAGGUGAAGAGGCACAUGAAUUUUGUCUUCAUAAAUUUGGGAUUUAUGACAUCUUUUGGCAUAACUGAUACAAUCCCCUUCCACGAUGGACCAAUCAUAUCCGGAUCUCAUGAUUUGCCUGACCAUUGUAAAACCAUUAACAUGUGUUCCACAAAUAUCCUCAUGUACUUCUUCUAAGAUUUUCUUGGCCUUAACAAUGUCCACACAUCUUAAUAGUACUUUAUCCUUUCUUCUUUUAUAUAAAAUCUCCCCAUCUAAGACAUAGUCAUUGGCCAGUCUCCUCAAUGUCCUUUUAUCAUUCUCGGUUACCUGAUUAGGGUAUUCACGAUUCUUUACAUAUCGCAAUAUAUCGGGGUACUAAGGGUGACCAUCGUUUUCUUCUUUCUCGAUGUUGUAACAAUGGGCCGGAGCCUCAUAAAUACUCAUCUGGAUAGGUUUUACAUCCUCUUAUUUGUUCACUUUGACCAUGGAAGCUAAGGUAGCUAAGGCGGUAGCCAUUUAAUUUUCAUAUUGUAAAAGGUAACAGAAGGUGAUGUCAUCAAACUCCUUAAUUAACUCAAGGACCAACCUUCGAUAAUUGAUCAACUUGGGGUUUCUCGUCACUCAUUCUCCUUUGAGUUGAUAUAUCACUAGUGUAGAAUCUUCAUAUACCCCCAGUACCUUGAUCUUACAUUCUAUGGCUGCACGGAUACCCAUGAUGCAUGCUUCGUAUUCUGCUAUGUUAUUUGUGUAAUCAAAAUCAAGUUUGCUGGUAAGAGGAUAAUGAUCUCCGUCUGGAGAUACUAGAACUGCCCCGAUUCCGUUACCUAUAACAUUUGAGGCUCAGUCAAAAUUUAGUUUCCAAUGAUAUUCUUCUUGAGCAUCUUCUUCGGUGGUUGCAACAUACAUCAGAUCCUCAUUUGGGAAAUUAAAAUUCAAAGGCUCGUAAUCUUCUAGAGCUUUACUGGCUAGAAAAUCUGCUAUUGCAUUCGCUUUUACUGCUUUCUAGUUCACAUAAAUUAUAUCAAAUUCAAAGUAGAAUUUGAUACAUCGCUCCCGCAUUUUUCAGUCCGAAUGACAUCACUUUAUAGCAAAAUGUUCCCUACAUGGUUAUGAAUGUGACCUUUUCCAUGUCUUCUUGAUGUAUCUUUAUCUGGUUGUAUCCAGAAAAACCAUCCAUAAAGGAGAAUAGUGAAUAACCUAUUGUGUUGUCCAUUAAGGUAUCGAUGUGAGGCAAUUAGAAAUUGUCCUUUUGGGCUAGCUUUAUUUAAAUCCCUGUAGUCUACACACAUUCGUACUUUUCCAUCUUUUUUAGGGAUGGGGACUAUAUUGGCUACCCACUCCGAGUAUUUAACUACUUGUAGGAAACUAGCGUCGAAUUAUUUCUUGACCUCUUCUUUUAUUUUUAAUAGGACAUCAGCCAUCAUCCUUCGAAGUUUUUGUUGAACCGGCUUGCAUUCUUCCUUUUUGGAGAGCUAGUGUACCACAAUAUCAGUGCUUAGACCAGGUAUAUCUUGAUAUGACCAUGUGAAGACAUCUUUGAAUUCUUGGAGUAACUCAAUGAGGCAUUGCUUUGUCUCUGCAGUGAUACAAGCUUCGAUCUUCACAUUUCUCUUUUCUUAUUUGUCUCCCAAGCUCACAAUUUCUACUGACUCUUUGUAAGGUAAGGUUUGUUUCUCAUCUUGUUCUACCAUCCUUAACAAAUUAGGAGAUAGGUAACAAUCUUGAUCAUCUUCAAAGUCCUGAGGUUCCUCUAGACACAUAUCUUGUUCAAAAGGAGAUUCUGAGUUAGUAGCAGGGUCGCUCAUGUCAUUGAUAUCUAGAGACCUGUUAUAGGAAUGAAAGAAGAUCCAAAGAACAAAUGAAUCUAAAAAUAAUUAUCUGUGUGGUAUGAGUAUGAAUGAAAUGAAAAAAAAUAGAAGAAUAUUUUCCAAAUGAGACACAAAGAUCAUUUUGUUGAAAUAAAAAAAGUGGACAUAUGCCUUUUUCACAAAAGGAUUCUUGUUGCUCCCAGGUUUAAAGCAAUAAGUGUGUUUUGAACAUUACUCUGAAUUAGUUCUAAAAAUUACAGGGAUCUCUUCUGCAAUCCAAUUAUUCAGAACACUUCUAGGGAUAUAAGGACAAAUGCCUGAUAGGUUUUCUUCCCCAAUUCCUUCUUUGGACAUGACAUUGAUGCUUAGAUUUCCCAAUAUUCCUUCCACAAUUUUGGUUAACAAGCUCUCUUUUUCUGCCAUCUUUCGUUUAGGAUAAAUGAUUUCUCCUAACAUGAACAUUUUAGAUAUAUGGGGAAAGAUCAUCAAUUUCUAUAUGACCUUUCCCCCUCUUAGUCAUGCACUUCUUCUUUCUUGCUUCUUUUUUAUCUCAUUCUUCUUUUGUCUCGCAUCUGACUUGUACCCUAAGCCGAAUCGGUUUUGUUUGUCCAUCAGCAUUGGUGCUUCAACUCUUCCUUGAAGGUAUUUUUUGAGUCCUCUUCUAGGUAAAGCUCAUUUCUCAACUGUUAACUACAGACCCAUCCUCGUGGUUCUGGAUAUUUUUGGCACUGGGAUCUUGUUUCCUAACGAAUGAUUCUAAUCCUCUGUCAAGUCAUUUCAUAAUGAAUGAUUCUAAUCCUCUCCCAUGUUUCCAAGUAAACUGAAACUCGAAUACUGGAAUUUCUAUAAUCUUACAAUCAAGAAUGCUGUUUUGAAACCUACCCAACCAAGCAAUUAGAUAGUCACCACCUCCCUAUUUAUCACUCACUAAAAGUAGGUUGUUGAAAUCAUCAAGGCAAACCCAAGGUAAAGUACAAGCUCGAGAAAGAAACCGAAACAACUCCCAACUAUCUUGUUUUUAUGCAGCCUCAAGAUACCCAUAGAAACCAAUAAGCGAAAAAUUAUCACCAUCACCAUCAAUAUGAUUUCUAGAAAAAACUAGUAAUUGAAACAUUAUAGUCCUUAUUCCAAAUGAAGGCUAAGCCACCACUCUGCCCAACUUGUCGACAUAGAAAAAUAGUUAAAAUUUAAGCUAACAUGAAGUUCUUCCAAUUUAUUAGACAACACAAGAGUUUCAAAUAAAAAUAAAAAAUCAAGCUUAUUCAACUGUACAAGGUCCCUAAGGGACAAAGUUGCUCGAGGAUUGCCCAAUCCUUGACAGUCCCAAGUAAGACAAACCAUUGCUCCUAGCGGGCCCCAGGAAAGGGACCGAGCGAUUCAAAAUAAGUGGAGAUAAUUGAGGGAGACAACUAGUGAGCUUUUCCUUCAACAGAAACCUAGUCAUCUACAUCAACAAUGCUUCCUCUUUAGGUCUUUUUUUAAUAGCCUCGACAUCCAUCAAA